UAGAAAAUAGAAUGAAAAAAUGCGAUUAUGGAAGGAUUCACAGAUGUACAUGCUUCAUUUUGUGAAAAUCGUCAGGAUUUAUAGUAGAACGGGGAAGGGAAAAGGAUGAUGGAAAAAAACAAAAUUACAGAACUAUGAUGAGAUGUGGGAGCCGAAAUAAUGCCAAUGAGGAGGAGAUAAUUAGAAACAAGAAUUUCAAUGGGAUGCAGUUUUCCUUUAGAGCUGAAGAGGGUCAAAUUUAUAUUAUUUGCAGGACAUGAAGCAGUUUCUGGGAGAGAAGCUGAAGAUGCUGAGAAAAAUUUUCCAUUUUCCAAAAAGUCAUUAAAGAGUUUAACACAUUUGACACGGAGAGCCUUACAGAAUAUGGAAAUAAAAGCUAAAGUUAGUGAAUCAAGAUCAGAUUCUCGAAACAGUUCCAGCUCAAUAUCACUGAGAACAUUUGAUGGACCUUCCAGCAAAGAGACUGAAUUUUGAAGGAGAAGUAGUGGAUUCUCGGAACAGUUGUGUAAAAGUUCAACAAGUCUUCGGUAAAUGCUGCCCAUGUCACUUGCACACACGUUAUUGUCUUCAGCAAUUCUCAUGUAGAAGUGAGCAGAGGAUCUCCAGAGCCAUCUUUAUGGAAAAGUUUAGAAACUGAACGCAGAAGGAGAGACGUGUUUGAUUCAGACCAGGCAGAGGAAUUAAUGUUUAAUUUGUGAUCUUUCUCUAUGUUACAUAUUUCCUUAAGACAGACAUCUGAGAAUUGGAGAAGAGGGUGGACUGCACAUUUAAAAGAAUGAAACGUAUCGUUAUUUACACUUUUUCCAAGAAGUUUGUUAACUUUUUCUUCUGUGGCACUCCUGUCUGUCAUGAAGUUUGAAAUUUUUUGUAAAAUUUGACCUUUAUCAGAACUAACUGUAUCGUUUAGAAUUUCGUUGGUGCAGUCGACGUAUGUGGAGCUUUUGGAGUCAGCAACUUCUCUUAAACCCAGUGUCAGUGUUUUUUGAGUGGUGGAUACUUCAACACCAUAAAAGUGUUUUCCUUUUUUUGUCGUCGCAUCUCUGUGCAACGUUAAAUUUGACUCCUGCUGUAUUUCCUCUGCAACCUGAGCACGGCUCAAAAUACCAAGUUCACUUGUCAUAUUUGAAAUUGUACUUACUGAAGGAAGAUCAGAAAUUUGAACGUCUACUAAAGAAAGGACUUCUUGAAUCAAUGGAUUUAUGAGUUCCAGUGAAAUGUUUCUGGCUCUGAAGAAGUAAUACAAUUUUCAUAAUUUUGCAGAGAAAGGCUUGCCUUGAGAUUUAUCCUUGGCAUUCAAUAUGAUUGGCUUUGAAGUGGAAGGACAUUCAUUGCAUGUUUUGUUUUCGCUGUUUUACUUCAUGAAAUCCAGUUCUUGUUGUAAAUCAAUAAUUGUUUGCUUUGUCAAAUUGCAUUGUGUUGAUUUUUUGGUUUUAACAUUUUUUGUGUUUAUAAAGGAGAUUUGAUCCUGCAAAGUUUUCACAUUUUUUUUUUCAAAUUUAUGAUUGUUCUCAUGUUUCUUUGUAACUUGGCAUUAGCUCUAUACAUUUGUGCUUGUUUUUCUUGUAAUUUAUUUUUUAAUUGAAGAAUUUCAUUCUGCAGACUGUUAAUUUCAUUGUUUGCUUUGGAAAUAUCUUUCUUGGGUUCAGAUGUCUUAGGAAAAACAAAUGAACAGGAGCAAAAAGAGUGAUAUUCCUCUUUCCUUCUAGAAUUUUUCCGCAGUUUGUUCAUUUCCUGGAUGAUGUGUUUUGCUUUGUUGUAUAAACUAAAUUUGUUUAUUGUAUUUGGGUCAGUUCUAGUUAAUUCGCACAUUUUUUCAUGAAACAGGGAAACAAUUCCACGACAGGAAAAGUAGAUUUCUUUCAUUUGUAUCAAAUUCAUUUUUGUUUGACAGUUCAAAAAUAAUUGUAAACUGUAACUUAAUUUUUACCUCACUUCCUAGUGUUUUGAAAGUAGUAAAUAUGGCAUAUUACAAUAUACAAAAACUUAAACUUGGUUGUAAAAUGAAUAUAUGAAAAAUAUUCAAGUGUAUGUGUAAAAUAUUAUUUUAGACUAAGAGAAUUUAAGAUAGUUACCUUUGAAAUGAGGUGAUGCACCAGAAAGUGCUCAGAUGCAAUUUCCACUAUUCCAUCAAUUAACUUCUGCUUGCUAAAAAAUUUAAAAAGAAGGAUAAAUUCUUCAAGGACAUGAUUAUGUAAUUAAGAGGCUGUCUAUUCUAUAUAAAAAAAAAAUAAAAUUAAAAAA